AUGGUGUGUGUGUGUUGUGUGUGUGUGAAGUUAUAUCUGUUCAGUGCUCUAGUCAAGCUGCUGAAUUAAAGGUUAUAUAAUGUUAUGUGAUAUCUUUUUGCUCUGGUCAAACUGCUCUAUAAGAGGUAAUAUAAUGUUAUAUGUGAUAUCUCUCUGCUCUAUAAGAGGUUAUAUAAUGUUAUAUGUGAUAUCUCUCUGCUCUAUAAGAGGUUAUAUAAUGUUAUAUGUGAUAUCUCUCUGCUCUAUAAGAGGUUAUAUAAUGUUAUAUGUGAUAUCUCUCUGCUCUAUAAGAGGUUAUAUAAUGUUAUAUGUGAUAUCUCUCUGCUCUAUAAGAGGUUAUAUAAUGUUAUAUGUGAUAUCUCUCUGCUCUAUAAGAGGUUAUAUAAUGGUAUAUGUGAUAUCUCUCUGCUCUAUAAGAGGUUAUAUAAUGUUAUAUGUGAUAUCUCUCUGCUCUAUAAGAGGUUAUAUAAUGUUAUAUGUGAUAUCUCUCUGCUCUAUAAGAGGUUAUAUAAUGUUAUAUGUGAUAUCUCUCUGCUCUAUAAGAGGUUAUAUAAUGUUAUAUGUGAUAUCUCUCUGCUCUAUAAGAGGUUAUAUAAUGUUAUAUGUGAUAUCUCUCUGCUCUGGUCAAACUGCUCUAUAAGAGGUAAUAUAAUGUUAUAUGUGAUAUCUCUCUGCUCUAUAAGAGGUUAUAUAAUGUUAUAUGUGAUAUCUCUCUGCUCUAUAAGAGGUUAUAUAAUGUUAUAUGUGAUAUCUCUCUGCUCUAUAAGAGGUUAUAUAAUGUUAUAUGUGAUAUCUCUCUGCUCUAUAAGAGGUUAUAUAAUGUUAUAUGUGAUAUCUCUCUGCUCUAUAAGAGGUUAUAUAAUGUUAUAUGUGAUAUCUCUCUGCUCUAUAAGAGGUCAUAUAAUGUUAUAUGUGAUAUCUCUCUGCUCUAUAAGAGGUAAUAUAAUGUUAUAUGUGAUAUCUCUCUGCUCUGGUCAAACUGCUCUAUAAGAGGUUAUAUAAUGUUAUAUGUGAUAUCUCUCUGCUCAGUGCUCUGGUCAAACUGCUGUAUAAGAGGUUAUAUAAUGUUAUAUGUGAUAUCUCUCUGCUCUAUAAGAGGUCAUAUAAUGUUAUAUGUGAUAUCUCUCUGCUCUAUAAGAGGUUAUAUAAUGUUAUAUGUGAUAUCUCUCUGCUCUAUAAGAGGUUAUAUAAUGUUAUAUGUGAUAUCUCUCUGCUCUAUAAGAGGUUAUAUAAUGUUAUAUGUGAUAUCUCUCUGCUCUAUAAGAGGUCAUAUAAUGUUAUAUGUGAUAUCUCUCUGCUCUAUAAGAGGUAAUAUAGUGUUAUAUGUGAUAUCUCUCUGCUCUAUAAGAGGUUAUAUAAUGUUAUAUGUGAUAUCUCUCUGCUCUAUAAGAGGUUAUAUAAUGUUAUAUGUGAUAUCUCUCUGCUCUAUAAGAGGUUAUAUAAUGGUAUAUGUGAUAUCUCUCUGCUCUAUAAGAGGUUAUAUAAUGGUAUAUGUGAUAUCUCUCUGCUCUAUAAGAGGUUAUAUAAUGUUAUAUGUGAUAUCUCUCUGCUCUGGUCAAACUGCUCUAUAAGAGGUUAUAUAAUGUUAUAUGUGAUAUCUCUCUGCUCUAUAAGAGGUUAUAUAAUGUUAUAUGUGAUAUCUCUCUGCUCUAUAAGAGGUUAUAUAAUGUUAUAUGUGAUAUCUCUCUGCUCUAUAAGAGGUAAUAUAAUGUUCUAUGUGAUAUCUCUCUGCUCUAUAAGAGGUUAUAUAAUGUUAUAUGUGAUAUCUCUCUGCUCUGGUCAAACUGCUCUAUAAGAGGUUAUAUAAUGUUAUAUGUGAUAUCUCUCUGCUCUAUAAGAGGUUAUAUAAUGUUAUAUGUGAUAUCUCUCUGCUCUAUAAGAGGUUAUAUAAUGUUAUAUGUGAUAUCUCUCUGCUCUAUAAGAGGUAAUAUAAUGUUAUAUGUGAUAUCUCUCUGCUCUAUAAGAGGUUAUAUAAUGUUAUAUGUGAUAUCUCUCUGCUCUAUAAGAGGUUAUAUAAUGUUAUAUGUGAUAUCUCUCUGCUCUAUAAGAGGUUAUAUAAUGUUAUAUGUGAUAUCUCUCUGCUCUAUAAGAGGUUAUAUAAUGUUAUAUGUGAUAUCUCUCUGCUCUGUAAGAGGUUAUAUAAUGUUAUAUGUGAUAUCUCUCUGCUCUAUAAGAGGUUAUAUAAUGUUAUAUGUGAUAUCUCUCCGCUCUAUAAGAGGUUAUAUAAUGGUAUAUGUGAUAUCUCUCUGCUCUAUAAGAGGUUAUAUAAUGUUAUAUGUGAUAUCUCUCUGCUCUAUAAGAGGUUAUAUAAUGUUAUAUGUGAUAUCUCUCUGCUCUAUAAGAGGUUAUAUAAUGUUAUAUGUGAUAUCUCUCUGCUCUAUAAGAGGUUAUAUAAUGUUCUAUGUGAUAUCUCUCUGCUCUAUAAGAGGUUAUAUAAUGUGAUAUCUCUCU